UAGAACUUGCUUGACAGAAAAUGUUAGAAC
rnacentral:piRNA from 1 species